rnacentral:tRNA from 1 species
GGCCUCGUAUCUCAGCUGGAAGAGCAUUCGCUAUACUAAAGCGAUGAUGGUGACCGUGCACGGGUUCGAAUCCCGCCGGGGCCA